AGUGAACGCUGGCGGUAGGCCUAACACAUGCAAGUCGAACGGCAGCACAGUAAGAGCUUGCUCUUACGGGUGGCGAGUGGCGGACGUGUGAGGAAUACAUCGGAAUCUACUUUUUCGUGGGGGAUAACGUAGGGAAACUUACGCUAAUACCGCAUACGCCCUACGGGUGAAAGCAGGGGAUCUUCGGACCUUGCGCGAUUGAAUGAGCCGAUGUCGGAUUAGCUAGUUGGCGGGGUAAAGGCCCACCAAGGCGACGAUCCGUAGCUUGUCUGAGAGGAUGAUCAGCCACACUGGAACUGAGACACGGUCCAGAGUCCUACGGGAGGCAGCAGUGGGGAAUAUUGGACAAUGGGCGCAAGCCUGAUCCAGCCAUACCGCGUGGGUGAAGAAGGCGUUCGGGUUGUAAAGCCCUUUUGUUGGGAAAGAAAAGCAGCAGGUUAAUACCCAGCUGUUCUGACGGUACCCAAAGAAUAAGCACCGGCUAACUACGUG
rnacentral:rRNA from 1 species